AGAGAACAUCAUUAAAAAUCAUUACGAGAGAGUGCGCGGUCUUUUAUCUUCUGUUUCUCAUAAACGCACCGGAGUCGGUAAAAAUAGAUUCAAGGACAGGGAUGCAAGGGUGCGUUGCACUCUUUCGCCACGUCAUGCCUGGCCCUUACGGGCUCGCGUGUUUAUAUGUGUGUGUGUGUUAAUACAGAUACCUAAGCGGUGCAAGCGCGGAGAGCCACGGAGAGAGGCCCCCCUUCAAAAUCGAUACCCUCGGCUCCUCCUCGAAGCUGUCUCGCCUCGCGUGCUUGCGUAGCCGAGCACGUGACCGGCCACGGAUGUGCAGAUGAAAGAACGGAUGUGGAUCUGCGAGAUGCCGGGCGAUUCGGAGCCACGCCAUAAAGAUUCCAUCCCGAUACAUCGCCGAACAUCAUUGUCGAUUCAUUCAUAAUGAACGCCUGUUCUGAGAUCAUUACGGACGCCCGAUUAUACAUUCGAGUCAUUUAAAUGCAGCGGUUUCCUCUUGAUGUAAUUAUCACGCACGUGGUACAUGCAUAGCGAUCGAAUUUGGCUGGUCAAUCAAUGACAGACCCAAUGACCUGAGAGAGAGAGAGAGAGAGAGAAAGAUAGAGACAUCUCGACCUUGUCUACCAAAUAAGGCCCCGCAUCAAGGUCCUCGUGAUCUGGAUUUACGUUAAGGAUUUUCACUUGUGAGAGCGAGGGAACUGAUGGCGCGUGCGAAAAAAGGUCGAGCCUUCAGGUAGUUCUUUACCCUUCUUCGAGGAACUCAAAGUUAACACUGGUAUCAUCUGCAUGUGGCGUAAGCAAAAUGCGACGAUGCACGUAUCCGUUUCUAUGCAAAAGUUAAAAAAAAAAAUGUGUAUAAAGGAAAGAGCGCGCGCACAUAAAGGGAUAAAUAUAAGUUAAACGAAAGUUAUAAACAAUUUAACGAGGAGUUUCGUUAUUAAAGCAAAUUUUAGAAACGUCGUUGAGCGUACAUGCAUAAUGCAACAUAAGCUUAAUGUGAUUCUUGGACGAUGCCGUCUACCCGAUACUAUCGUAACAGUACCGUCGUACACUCGGUUGACGCCAUCGUUCGCCAAGCGAGGAAUCUCGACUGUGCUCAAUAAUACUCGAUACUGCUAUAUUUAAUGCUGACUUAUUUCAUUUAUAAAAUGAAAGAAUCUGAUAUGUAUCUCGGCGACUAAAUAAUCAUCACAUCGUUUUGAUCGCUUUAUUGUACGCGGCGUCGUGACAAAAUUUACUCCAAUACAGGAUGUUCCUAAUGUGUGCGAAAAAUGUUGGGGGAUUAUUUAGCGAAAGGUGAGAUUUUAAGAAAUAUA